CUUUCCAAAGACAAGCUGAGGACAUGGUGGAUGACACCCCAUGAUGGUGCCCGUACUCUUCACUAGUGUGUGCUGGUGAACUGUAGUUGUUGCUGUUGACCUCCGACCCCAGUGCUACUAUUAUUCUGAAAAAGAUGUGUUGUGUUACACAGGAGAACUUUGAUUUUGAGGGGAAUUAUUAUCAUUUUUAGGAAAGUUUUAGCAUCUUGGACUCGGGUAUUUAUCGGAUCAUCAGUAGUAGAAGAGGCAGUCAGUCCGAUGAAGACUCUUCCUCCCUUCACAGUCAGACCUUCUCAGAAGAUGAAAGGCUUAAAGAAUUUGGCUCACACCAGGAAGAAGAGCAGCCAGAGCAGGGCUGUGGUGCAAGCAGAAAUGAAGGAAUGAAAGAUAGCUCCAGUUUUGGGAGCCAUUGCCUUCCCUUUUCAAUGUUCCAGCAUUCCUGUGACUGAACUGUUGAGAAGAGAUUAGUAGAAACUCUAAACUACCUUUGUGGCUUGUGGGGAUACAGGACAGUGUUCCCCAUGGUCUAGUGACGUCUGAGACAGAGAAGAGUGAAGCUUUUCUGCCCUUCAGCAUCCCACUGCCGUUUCGUUCUCCGUCUCCUCGGGUGUCUCUCCAGGCUGUUAAAGACAGUGUUUCUAGCUUUGUGCGUAAAACUACUGAGAAGAUCGGCACCUUUCACACAAGCCCAGAGCUGAAAGAGACAUUUGAAUCUAAGGAUGUUGACCAAGUACAUGAAGAGGAAGUGAGUGCAGUUACCUGCCCUCUGGAGGAAGACACUGAGUAAGCCUUGUGUCUGAGUCUGGAAUCCUAGGGGAACUAACUACCAGUGUGAAGAAGUCAUAGACUGUACUGUGGGAGAUCCUGUAUGUAUGAUACUGCCUACUGAAGAUUUUGCAUAGCUCAGAAACUGCAAAUUCCACAGUUUACAAAGAAUUAACUCUGUUGAGACAGACUUUGAGUUUCAUAUCUUGUUCACCUUUCUCCCUCUCUGUUUUCUUAUCACAUUACUGGACUGUCAGAGGAAUGUUAGAUUAAGAUCCAGGUCUUACUAGCUCUUCUCACUAGCUUGUAACUUUAUGUCAUUAAUGCUGUAUGGUCUGUCAGUUCUAGGAUGUGCCAUUGUGUAAUGAAUAAGAGUGGAACAUUUGAUGAAGAUAAUGGAAUGAAAGACUCUUUAAGGCAAUGUAAC